CACACACAGUUUUACACUAAAAAAGGUAUUUAUUGUUCAUCUGAAAUUCAAAUUGAACAGGCUGUUCUGUGUUUUAUCUGGCAAAUGGACCAACCAAGGGCUAAGUGAGGUAUUGAAGACUGGUAGGUCUGGGUCAUGUAAAGAAGAAAUGCGUCUCACGAGGAGGGACUCACUCCUGUCCCUUCUCUGAAUUUCUGUGGGGCUUCCAGAGAGCAGGACUCACACAUCUGGUGGGUUGUGUGUAUGGAGUAGGGAGUGUGGCUGCACAUAACCCACGUCCAGGGUCUCCAGAAGUUGGAAAUCGCAUCAAGGAUCAGCGUUCUGGGAAAGCUCCCUUUGACUUAGGUUUAAGAAGAGUUUUCUCUUAAAGCCUAGAGGGUACAAGGCUCAUUCAUGUACAUUGUUCACAGAGGAGAGGCCAAGAUGCCCAUCACGGGCUCCUUCCUUCCUAAAGGUCUGCCUUGUGUAAGCUGGAGCUGGAAUGGACAGGAUUUAGAGACGGGUUAAUCGUCCGAACCACCUGUGCACAAAAUAUCCAGGACCGUCUACCGUGUCUUAAGGGAUGCUUUCAGUGUUCUGUACAAGUCCACACUCAGGCCUGACGGGCUUCAGGCACUGCUCACUUUUUCUACACUGUUUAUCCCCACCCCUACUCCCCCCCCCAAAAAAUGGUAUCAACAAAGUGAGAAGGGAAGAGCUUGUUGAGCUAAACAGAUCGCUUAAACAAACACGGAAAGGUAGCUAUGUGUGCUGUGAUCAGGGGACAGUGAAGAAAUCAGCCUGAUCUGAAGGGGCUCGGGAGAGAACAGAAGCUUUGUGUGAACCUUGCUUGCUGGCCACCCGCCUGUCUGUCCACUCUGGUGGGAAGUUUGGAAGACCUUGGUGAUGGAAAGAAAUAGACAGCGUAGCAGGAGGAACACCAGAGAGACAGGCUGCUUUCCAGAGCCUAUUCGCAAAAAUAGCCGAGGGUGAGGAUGAGAAAACACCCUGCUUUCGUGAGAUUUUUAUUAAGAAGCAGACUAAGAUGUUAAGUAACUGCCUCUUUGAGUGCACAUCCUUGGCCAGGAAACAGCCAAUGAUUUCGGAGAACUGUAUUAUUACUUUGUGUUUGCUUAUCUUUUUCUCUCCUUACCUGAUAAUCAUCUGUAGCUCUAUCUGUCUUUUUAAGGACAUGUGAGAAAAUAGAAAAGGUUACAGAGGACAGUCGAAGAAUUGCAUAUUAUUACCUGGCUUUCCAGAGCUGACUAUGCAAUUGUUUGUUUUUGAUGAGAUAACAAUGAAGAUAGAAUUGUUCAAAGCAAAUGCUGUUCAAAUUUCGUGCAGCCAGAGCUCACUGCCCCAGUCUCAUGGAUGGCUGCUCCCUCCCAACACUGAGGAUCUCCCACCCCCAUAGUCACCACCAAUGGAACAAAGGGUGGGAGGUCUACCUUCCCAUGGGUCCAUGAGCUCCCCAGGGCAGGAACCAUGUCUCUGCAUUUCUGGAACACUGUGCCUGCCACAAAGUUACCUCUCCUUGGAUUUUUGUCCAGUGAAUGAAUACGUAACAAAAUGGGAUCCCGAUCUCAUGAUGCAUCUUCCAUGGAUGGCUCCACCCUUCCCAGAUCUGAUGACUUAGCCAUGGAACGGCUUUGGCUUUCUGUAUGCAAGCUUGGUGUCAAGAUUGGUUCACCUGCUUCCUCCGCCUACGUGAAAGCUGCUACAUAUCAUAUCUGCACUAGUCCAGGCCCUGAGAUCUCACACUGGGAGAAGAAUUUAAAUUAGAUGUUUGAUGCGGUUCCUUUUAGAUAAUGAGGUAGCACUGAAAUGGAAAAUUUCACACCUUCUGAGUUCUCUGCCCUCACUUGUCCUUACUCCAAAGGGAUGGAAAUGCAGCGGCCCAGGGGCGCCAGUUCCCUGGAACAAGAAUGGGGAAACCUGUUCCGCCAGGGAUGGUGAGAGGGGUCAGUUACCUUAAAUGGCUGAGAGUGCAUUGAGCCAGGGUAAGGUACAAGCGGGAAUCUGAGAAAGGCUUCUAGGGCUCAGGGCCAGAGAAGGGGGGUCACCUGAUGGCUGCAAAUGAGGACCGAGAUGGGUCAUAUCAGCUUCUGCCCCUUACAAGCCGCCAUCCUCAACCAGUUCCUUCACCUACAUAGUAGGAUUUAUGAUGCAUACACACCAGUUUUUGUUUGUUUGUUUUUGGCCAAUCAAGUGAUCAAAAAAUGCACAUGAAGGGCUCAGUUCAAUUCCUGGCAUGUAGGAAUACCCAAUAAAGGGCCCAAGAGGCAACAGCAGAUCUAAAAUUGGUCAAUGAACCAAUAGCUCAAGAUCCAGCUGGGUACCCAGGGCAGAAAAGGAAGUAGGAAGAUGUACCCCAGGGAACAUCUUUGGGGUUCCUUAACACACUGUUAGGUUGGGGUGAUUGGGCACUGAUUUAGGCUGGUUGCUGUCGCAUCCAACAUAACAAUGGCAUUAAACACUAAUGUACCUUAACCACCUUAGGUCAUUGCUCCAAGAUUUCCAUUACCCACUUCCUUGGCCUAGAAGUCUUGUAGGAACUUUGAUAGCCUCCCUUCUACUAUGCUCCCUAAAAUGUGUCUCCAACACUGUAAGAUUCUAUAGCCAUCAUGUGUUGGAGGCACUGUCCCUCUUCUGGUCCAGGCUAUCACUAGUCCACACCAUGUUUUCAAGGAUGACACCCACAAAGUUUCCAUACAUCGUUGUUCAUACUCCAACUCUAGCCCCUCCCAAAGCCACCCACAUCUGGUCUAAAGCCUUCCACAGCUUCCCAAGGCCAAUCCUGACCUGGACCCAUUUUGCCUAUUUCCUCAUGUCCGUGUCCCUCCCAGGGCCCCCAGAGCCAUCUAUACUGGCCUUCUCCACACACUUAUGAGAGCUCUCACUCUUUCUGGUCACUCACACUAUUCUCUUUGUAUUUUAAAAGAAGAGCUAUUUACUUCUCUUAUACAAACUAUACUGUGCUGUCAGGGUCUGACGUCUUUUCUAGUUCUGUGUUUCAAUGCGCCUAGCUAAGCUUGAUCCUUAGUGGGUGCAUCAUGAAUACACAUUAAAUGCUACAGAGGAAAACCCAGGUCACUCUAAAGGACAAACAUUUUGGUGUGAAUUUCAGAAGAUGCCCUAGGUUGAAAAGUUACUCAUCCAAGAAUCUCUCACGGAGAGAUAAGCCAGCUCUACUCUUUGAGUUGUCUAUAAUUAGACCAUGACAAAUAGGUUCAGAGCAUGUCAUAAAGAGUAAUCUUUUCGUGAGCAGAAGCUCUCUUGCCCUUGAGAUACUUUCAGUGUCACUCUAAUCUUGUAUUCUGAAAUCUUGGUUAUAUUUCUGUCAGAGGCAACUCCUGAUUUCCUUCUCUGUGGGUGGACAGUAGAGAUAUGAGGUGUCUCAGACAGUAGAGAAGUCCACAAUUAUAUAUGCUCAGCUAUUUGACAAUUCAGUGGCAUUCAACAUGAUCAGUAUACCCUAAGUGAGUACCUAAGACAGGCAAAAUGCAAAGCUAUAAAAAUAAGAGGGAAGAUGGGCAAACACAAAUACAAUAAUUAUCCAGUUUGACCAGAAUGUAAGGUGCUAAUAGGUACAUAUAGACAAUGUCACUGGAGAGGUAAAUUAAGAGUCAUAGAAAGACAUGAAUUCCUAACUUAACAAUGAUGGAUUGCUGCAGACUGUACAUGGGUCCCACCUCUUAGCAGACAAGUGUAGACAUCAUGCCUUUGCAGUGUGACCUCUGCCUUGAUAUACCAACAAGACUCAUAGCUUAAAAUACAUAGGGUUCAUGUUUCCACUUCAUCUUUGUCGUGAGGUGGGAGGUUCUCAGGUCAGGUUGCUUCCCUAGGUCCGUGGUCUGAAGAAAGUGCUGAGGGCUGAGGGAAUGGAUCCAGAAUCCUCAGUUCAGAGGAAUCAGCUCAAGCCUUCCAGCAGGGAGACACCGGGGUCUUCCCGGGAAGAGAUGUGAGAAGUAUCAGGGAGCCGCUGAUACCUGGAGCAGGCAGCGAGGCAGGGUGCCCCGGAAAGACACCUUGAUCUCCAGCAAGAGGAUGGGGUAAACAAGCCUCACCUCACAGGGAUUGUUGUUUGGAUUAGAACUGAAAUCAACAAAGAACCUGGCCGAGAGCCUGGACCCGAGUUCUGUGAUUAACACCUGGGAUCCAGAGGUGCCUGAGGCUCCGCCGUCAGGGCAACAGAAGGUCUUCCAUCUCUUCUUCCAGCUCUGCUCAGGCCACAGAAGGUGCUCAGGAAUUGUUUGUAGGAUGAAUUAAUAAUUCAAAGUUAAGGUUAGGACUUGGGGGACCUCCUGGUUUCUUACCAAGAUGGCUGCACAUUUGUGGAACGACCUUGGGCAAGUCAUUGAUCCUUUUGUGUGAAAAGCUUCCUCUUCUGCACAAAAAAACAGAGAGGAAAGAGCCAGAGUAGAUAUUCUUUCCCUUGCUUUCCUCUUGUCUGGUGCCAAAAGUCUAUAAGAAAUCAAUCAAAAUAGCAUUGAAAGUUGACACUUAUUAAGUGUGUCUUAGGUCCUGGGCCUUGGAAGAGCAUCUCUUCUGAUCAAAAACUUCACACGAUGGAUGAUUACUUUAAUCCCAGUUUUUCAGAGGAGGAAUGCAUGACCUAGAAAUCUCAUACAUUUUGUCUAUUGUCACACAACUUUUAAAUGACCAUUUCAGGAUUAGAACUUACCUAUCUGAUUCAAGGGCUUCCCAGG